rnacentral:lncRNA from 1 species
AUGAAUGUGAUGCACCGGUAUCAAAUAAAGCUCUAACUCGAAUACCAUAAAGUAAAAUGAUACCUGCGACCACAUUCUCGGCUGCCGCAGCCUCCUCAGUCUGGGCCGCAUACAUGCGCCCGCUCGGGGCCUGUCGUGACCCCUCCGUCUGCUGCUGGACAGGUGGCCGACCGGCCUGGUGAUGCGCAGAAGAUGUCCCCUGGCUGGGACCUGGCGAUGCAGGUGCAGAUGCCGAAGAUGGCGCUGGCAAAGGACUCCUCGGGCAGUCCGACUGGAAGUGGCCCUCCUGGCCACACAAGAAGCACCUGCCCCGGCUGCGUGAACACUGCCGCGGGUAAUGAGGACCGCCACAGAUCACGCAGCGGGGGGCCUGGCGACGAUCGGGUCCUCCUCGCUGAGUAGACUGGCCACGUCCUCGCGACUGGCUCCGGCUCCUGGGGUGCCUCGGCGGCCUCCGUGAGUGCGUCUGACUCGCACCCUCAGCCGCGGGCCUCUUGCCCUUCCCUUUCUCCAAGCUCUCGCGACGCUCCUGCAGAUCCGCCGCUCCUGCCUCCACUAUCAAAGCUCGAUCCACAACCUCCCGGUAGGUCUGGAGGUUGGAAGACUGCACCAACCGGAAGAUAGAAGGCCGCAAACCGCGCUCAAAGAUGCGGGCCUUGUCCUCGUCGUCCCUCACAACAAACGGUACACAGUGUAGUAUCCGGGAGAACUCCCUCUCGUACUCAGCCACUGACCGCUCAUCCUGGCGCAAGCUGCGCAAAUCCUGCUCCAUCUUCCUCUUGACGCUGGUAGGAAAGUGGUGCGCCAGUAGAAGCUCCUUGAACCUAGUCCAAGUAAUCGCUGCCAAGUCGGUGUUGGGGUUGUCCUGGAUAUCCAACCACCAACGGUAGGCCUCGCCGUCCAGAAAGUGAGUGGCGAGCCAAACUCUGUCCCGCUCCUCCACAAAGGUAUCUCGAAACAGCUUCUCCAUGUGUAGCAACCACUUCUCAACAAUCCAGUGGUCGACGUUCUCGCCAUCAAACGUCCUCGGGCUGCACCUCCUAUACUCACUGAGGCGAUCCAUAAGCUGAUCCCGCUCGGCACCCUCGGCCAUCACGGGGAAUGCAAACCCGUCGCCGGUCUCUGAACUGGUAAUGCAGCAACGACCUCCUCCCGAGGUGCGGUCGCCGGUGCCGCACGUGAAGAGCUGGGCGCGGGGGACUGCGCCCUCGGUGCGACGUCCACCACGGGUGCUGGCGGUGUGGGACCUUGGGUCUCCCUCGAAGCUGCCGCCUGCUGAAGUAGGAGGUUGUCACGCCCCGAGACUGCUACUAAUUUGGUCCGGCCCCGGGCGCGUCGAAC